rnacentral:rRNA from 1 species
GGACUACUGGGGUAUCUAAUCCUGUUUGCUCCCCUUGCUCUCGCGCCUCAGCGUCAGGUUAAAACUAGAAAGCCGCUUUCGCCACAGGUGUUCCUCCACAUAUCUACGCAUUUCACCGCUACACGUGGAAUUCCGCUUUCUCCGUCUUACCUCUUAGCUGAGUAGUUUCAAAUGCAGCUCCAAAGUUGAGCUUUGGAAUUUCACAUCUGACUUACUCUGCCGCCUACGCGCCCUUUACGCCCAAUCAUUCCGAUUAAUGCUUGUACCCUACGUAUUACCGCGGCUGCUGGCAC